rnacentral:rRNA from 1 species
GACGGGUGAGUAAUGCCUAGAAUCUGCCUGGUAGUGGGGGAUAACGUCGGAAACGGACGCUAAUACCGCAUACGUCCUACGGGAGAAAGCAGGGGACCUUCGGGCCNUUGCGCUAUCAGAUGAGCCUAGGUCGGAUUAGCUAGUUGGUGGGGUAAUGGCUCACCAAGGCGACGAUCCGUAACUGGUCUGAGAGGAUGAUCAGUCACACUGGAACUGAGACACGGUCCAGACUCCUACGGGAGGCAGCAGUGGGGAAUAUUGGACAAUGGGCGAAAGCCUGAUCCAGCCAUGCCGCGUGUGUGAAGAAGGUCUUCGGAUUGUAAAGCACUUUAAGUUGGGAGGAAGGGUUGUAGAUUAAUACUCUGCAAUUUUGACGUUACCGACAGAAUAAGCACCGGCUAACUCUGUGCCAGCAGCCGCGGUAAUACAGAGGGUGCAAGCGUUAAUCGGAAUUACUGGGCGUAAAGCGCGCGUAGGUGGUUAGUUAAGUUGGAUGUGAAAUCCCCGGGCUCAACCUGGGAACUGCAUUCAAAACUGACUGACUAGAGUAUGGUAGAGGGUGGUGGAAUUUCCUGUGUAGCGGUGAAAUGCGUAGAUAUAGGAAGGAACACCAGUGGCGAAGGCGACCACCUGGACUGAUACUGGCACUGAGGUGCGAUAGCGUGGGGAGCAAAC